rnacentral:rRNA from 1 species
UACGAAGGGGGCUAGCGUUGUUCGGAAUCACUGGGCGUAAAGCGCGCGUAGGCGGAUUGUUAAGUCGGGGGUGAAAUCCUGAGGCUCAACCUCAGAACUGCCUUCGAUACUGGCGAUCUUGAGUCCGGGAGAGGUGAGUGGAACUCCUAGUGUAGAGGUGAAAUUCGUAGAUAUUAGGAAGAACACCAGUGGCGAAGGCGGCUCACUGGCCCGGUACUGACGCUGAUGUGCGACAGCGUGGGGAGCAAACAGG